AUUAGCGAGGAGAGGCGCUAAUUUGGGUAAACUCGGUCACCGGAAGUAGAGAGCGACCGGAAAUCCUCCAAGGCCCCCGGCCCUGGGGCACCCAUAAAAAUGAUGUCGAAAUAACUAAUGAGAGACGCUUGCAACAGCUAUCAGAAGUGCACACAUUUGAGGCUUUGGAUAGUGACCCAAUGCUAGUGAAGUUAAUUGAUGCUCAAGUGUCCUGUGGGUGGUAGAGUUGAGCUGAAGCUUGGAGCUCAGGUGAUGCUAGCAAAGAAUCUGGAUGUGUCUCAAGGGCUGGUGAACGGGGCACGAGGCGUUGUUGUAGGAUUUGAAAGUGAACAGAAGGGGCUGCCUAAGGUGAGGUUUCUCUGUGGGGUCACACAGGUCAUAAGAAUGGAGAAAUGGGUCUUCAAAGGACCAUCAGGAGUUCACCUGAGUCGUCAACAGCUGCCUUUAAAGUUGGCAUGGGCCAUUUCCAUUCACAAGAGUCAGGGCAUGUCUUUAGAUUGUGUGGAAAUCUCCCUGUCUCGUGUCUUUGAAAGUGGGCAGGCUUACGUAGCCCUCUCCCGAGCCCGCAGCCUUGCAGGUCUCCGUGUUCUGGAUUUUGACCCAAAAGUAGUGAGAGCUGAUCCUUCUGUGCUGCACUUCUAUAGACAGCUGAGGCGUCAUCAGCUUUUAACCCAGGAUUCACUACACACCUAUUCAGAUGCUGAUGAGAAGGAGAAUGUGAAAUGCAGCUGAUAAUGUUCUCCUGGUUUCUGUGAAGUGUCAGCACAGACAGCUGAGAUGCAGUGAUCUUGCUAUUGAGUAUAUUUGAUAACACAGGUGUCUAGAGCUUUCCGUCGCGACAUAGAAGUAUCCCCACCUUGUGCCUCUGGAAUUUGGAAGGCUUCUGCAGCCCCCUUCUGAGCCCACAGACCUACGUAAGCACUUCUGUGUCACAGAUGCAACUCUAGCAAACAAAAUGACUGAACAAGGAUGUUCCUGAAGGACUUUCCUAUGGUUCUAUCCUGCCUGCCUAGUUGCAUUUAAUCCUCCACAUAUAUAGACUGAAACUUGUGUCCCUUUCUUCAAGUAUACCACUGUUGUGAGAUGGAAGGUGUCCGGAUGGAUUGGACCAGUUCACAGGAGCUGCUGACACAAGGGAAAGCAGUGCUAAGUAUCUGGAAUACACACUUGAUUCUUCUGCAAGCAAGGAGCUGGGCUAUUACUUUACAGCAUGCUGAGGUGUUCCAGAUGCUUGACACCAGGAGGCUUUGCAAAACUUCCUCCACAAGCAGAACUGCCAGUUACAUAUUGCUUGUUAUGCUGAUAUGUAGUGUUUUUAUUAGUCUGUUGCAUAAGAUGUGAUUUUUAUUUUUUUAACCCUCUGAGAUGAACUGGCACUGUUUAAAGACAGGAGGAAUUCCUACAUCUUAUACCUGUAAUUAUGGAACUACAAGAAUUGUGAAGUUCUGUUACUCCAUUAGGGAGAAGAUGGGUACUGGUGAGAGUUCCUCUUGUUAAAACAUGAGGCUUGCUCAAAUGAAAGUUGUCCCUGGAAAAAACCUGUCUGACUAAUAAGGUGGAAGUUUAGUGUGAAAUAGGGAAUAAUGGCUAUGGACAUGUGAAGUGAGCUGUAAUGUCACCUGUUUCAGCAAAAGCAGAGAUAAGCAGAACUAAUAUACUGUCUUAAUUAAGGCAAAGCUUUGGUCUUUGUAUUUUAGCACUUUGUUUAAAGCUUAAGUGACUUGUAUAUUUUAAAAUGUUUAACAUCUUAAAACAUGACAUAACAUUCAGCUGGAACUCAUCUCUUUCAGGGUUAUGUCUCUAACAAAACCUCUGCUGUGUGAGUGAGUUGAAAGUCACUUCUUGGCAGCUGCUCUCCUUAAAGCCAGGAAAGGAUGUUGAUUAGCCAGUGGUUAAUAUAGCAGAAAACAGUUUUAAUAGGAUUUCAAAAUGCAUAUUUUAAGUGGGGGUUGAGGGUUUUUUUUCUGGGCUUGAAAGGUAGAGUUUUGGAGGGAGUCAUAGUAGAAGACAGAAGUGUGACUAUUAUUCAGAGGGGCUCUUAAUGUAUCAGCACAUUGUUUCUUCAAAGAAGUCUGGUGGGGAGUGGAUGAAGUAGCUGGAACCUGUGGAAGACAAGCCCUUUCCCCCUCACACUGCAAGCUGUAAACUUUUUAAAUUAUUUUUUUUAAACAACACAUCCCAAUUCUUUGAGCUGGAUGUAAGCUGUUUGUCCACCUUGGGGAGAAACUGAAGAUUAACUUCUCCCUGCCCACACAGCUGGCAAGGAGGGUGCUGGCACACUAAAGCAUCAUUUCUGGUGCAGAUGAGCACUGAGGUGUGAUUGUUUGGCCUGCAGCUUCCAGAGCUUCCACUAGAGCUGGGUGAGGGCCUGACUGUUGCAGGCUGUGUCCCCCAGCUGACAGUGCCAGUACCCAGGUGGGGUGCCCAUGAGCACGGUGUGCUCAGAUUCAGCCCCCUCCUCCUGUGGUAGGACACAGGGGGUGCAGGUGUGGCAGGCUGGCUCUAGCCUUUGCUUGGACACCUCUUGUUCCCCCAGCUGCUGUGUCCCCAUCUUGAAGCACUCUUGCUCUUUCCUCAUGCUGCUGUUCUGCAGUGGGUGCCUUGGCACAGAAUCUGUGCUGUGCCACUCAUGCCUCCUGUGUAAUUCCAGCUGUGCCUCAAUGUGCAUCCUCCACCUUGGUGUGGGUUGAGUUUUUGCUUUUGUUCACCCCCCAUGCCCCUUGUGCAGGUGGCAGAGGCUGUGGGUACCCUGAUCAUCAGGGCAAGGCUGUCCAGGCAGGCAGGGAUGCCCAAGGGGUAGCCUUAAAGCCUGUAUGCUUGGUCAGGGGGCUGGGCUGGGUCCAGUUUGCACUCUUUUUAGAGAUGGGAUGCUGCAGUAUGAGGGCUUUGUGUUGCACUGGAGGUUGAGUUGUGGGAUCUGAAAUGCCCAGAAUGUCAGUGGGUUUUACUCUUGGGGUAGACGGCUAGGAAGGAUAUGCCAGGCAUGUCCAGUCAUACACAAUACAUUGAUUUACUGACAGGUUGCAUAAGAGUGAUGAGAUAAUGCAGGCUCAAAUCCUUUAACAUCUCUUAAAAAGUUCCUGUAUUGCUGCAAUGAAAAGAUAACUUAGAGUGUAGGAGUGGUGAUUAUGCAAAUAAACUUCUAAUUGUGAUUUUAAGAAGCAACUCACUUGACUGUAGUUUUCCUGGAUAUAGGGACUGAAAUCUUUCCAGUUGUGUGGCAGUUUUUUUGGUGCCAAGCUGAGGUUUGAGAUAAAAUGCUAAACAGAACUUAAAGCUGGAAAGGCUAAUCAAUAUUUCAUGUUAGUAUUAAAUAUACAUGAAAUAUUGUGGUUGCCUUCUCAAUGAUGGAACUGUGGGAGCAGAAUAGUGGUGGCUUUUGAAGGGCUGGAGCUGUUCUGAGGCCAAAAGGGGUCUGUCUGUGUAAAUUUUGGAUGUUCUUACUUCCAGCUAAAGCAGAUGUAGGGAGGGAGGCUGUGUCUGGAGGCUGCUAUUUAAAUCAGAAAAGAAGCAGUCAGGACAAAUCUGAGCUGUCAGGCUCUGUCAUGGCUCCCCUUCAGUCAGGGUUGUGAUGAGGCCUUUUUUAACAGAAUAAUACUUCCAUAUAUACAUGAGGUAAAAAUCUUGUAAUACAAUAAAUAUCCCUUCUUCCAA